rnacentral:tRNA from 11 species
UUAUAGUGUAGUUGGUUAUCACAGCGGGUUCUGAUUCCGCUAACCCAAAUUCGAAUCUCGGUAG